rnacentral:lncRNA from 1 species
UAGACCCUGCCUCAAGUUAAUGGAUUAUUCUCGUUCGACUGAAAUUCAUUUGUAUGAUGCUUUAGUUUGGCUUGCAGAUGUUGGAUCCCGGUCUGAAAAUGGACAGUACAGAGAGUUCAGUACCUGCGUGGAAAUCCAAUGAUGUAAAGGUAUAUAAAAUAAGACCCAAACUGACGAAACAAAAGGUUAAAAUUGUGGUAUUAUUAUCAAAGAAUGUAUUACCUUAAGCUUUCCUCUUGUGUGUCCAGUCUUGGCUAUGGAUGCAACAAGCAAUGCACCCCGAAUUAAACUACAACAGCUG